GAAUACCUCAUAUUGAGUUUGCCAAAAAAAAGGCAUAACAGAGAAGAUUAGCAUGGCUCCUGCGCAAGGAUGAUUAUUAUAAAUGUCAAACAGAGCACCCCACA